UACAGAGGUCCCAAGCGUUGUUCGGAUUUACUGGGCGUAAAGGGUGCGUAGGUGGUCGGGUAAGUCUCAUGUGAAAUCCCGCAGCUUAACUGCGGAACGGCAUGGGAUACUAUUCGGCUCGAGGAUUGGAGGGGGGACUGGAAUUCCUGGUGUAGCGGUGAAAUGCGCAGAUAUCAGGAGGAACACCGAUGGCGAAGGCAGCUCGCUGGGAAGGUACUGACGCUGAGGCGCGAAAGCGUGGGGAGCAAACAGG
rnacentral:rRNA from 1 species